AACAAAACUAAAAAAAAA
rnacentral:sRNA from 1 species